GACGAACGCUGGCGGCGUGCUUAACACAUGCAAGUCGAACGGGCCUGUCUUCUUUUUUGGGGGUGGGUUGAGUGGCGAACGGGUGAGUAUCACGUGAGUAACCUGCCCUUCGGUCCUGGAUAACCGCUUGAAAGGGCGGCUAAUACGGGGUGGUCCGGUUGGUCCGCAUGGGCUGGUCGGGAUAGAUUCACUGUUUUUGGUGUUUCGGCGGGGGAUGGGCUCGCGGCCUAUCAGCUUGUUGGUGGGGUGAUGGCCUACGAAGGCGGUGACGGGUAGCCGGCGUGAGAGGGUGGGCGGCCACACUGGGACUGAGAGACGGCCCAGACUCCUGCGGGAGGCAGCAGUGGGGGGGAUUGCACAAUGGGCGGAAGCCUGAUGCAGCGACGUCGCGUGAGGGAGGGAGGCCUUCGGGUUGUGAACCUCUGUUUCCGGUGGUGAAGGCCCUGUCCGUGUGGUGGGGUUGACGGUAGCCGGGGAUGAAGCGCCGGCUAACUACGUG
rnacentral:rRNA from 1 species